CGGAAUGCUUUACACAUGCAAGUCGAGCGGCAGCGCGGGGGCAACCCUGGCGGCGAGCGGCGAACGGGUGAGUAACAUAUCGGAACGUACCCCGUCGUGGGGGAUAACACAGCGAAAGCUGUGCUAAUACCGCAUACGACCUGAGGGUGAAAGCGGGGGAUCGCAAGACCUCGCGCGAUGGGAGCGGCCGAUAUCGGAUUAGCUUGUUGGUGAGGUAAAGGCUCACCAAGGCGACGAUCCGUAGCUGGUCUGAGAGGACGACCAGCCACACUGGAACUGAGACACGGUCCAGACUCCUACGGGAGGCAGCAGUGGGGAAUUUUGGACAAUGGGGCAACCCUGAUCCAGCCAUUCCGCGUGAGUGAAGAAGGCCUUCGGGUUGUAAAGCUCUUUCAGCAGGAACGAAACGGUGGCCACUAAUACUGGCUACUAAUGACGGUACCUGAAGAAGAAGCACCGGCUAACUACGUG
rnacentral:rRNA from 1 species